UUUUACAUGAAAUAGAAGCAAAAGCAAAAGUCCUGUCAAACAGACUUCAAAGAUAAAAACAGAAGCAAUAGUAAUCCGUCAAGCAGGCUCUUACUAAGCAUGUCUUGCAGCAUAAGAUGGGAAUCCAAAAUGCCGUAUUCCAGUGACCUUUUCGCAUGUCACAAGUAAGAAUUCAUAUGUAGAGCUCAUCAGUCAUGGAACAAUAUUUAUAAUAAGAUGUUGUCUCAAUGAAAAAAAAAGCCCAAAUGUGACUUUGGACAAAACCACCCCAUCUCCGAAAAAAAAAUAUUGCCUUCCCGAACCCUAAUUAAAUCCUACAAAUCGAUCAAGUUGGACAAUAUUAAAGAAAAAGAAAGCAAAACACAAUUUGAACGAAUCAAACUUCUCAAUGCAAUUGGGAGGAUGUAAAACCAUGACUAUUCAUGAAUGUUGCUCGUUGUGUCUUGCCGAUCA
rnacentral:lncRNA from 1 species